GCAGCAGCCGCGGUAAGACGUAGGAGGCGAGCGUUGUCCGGAUUCAUUGGGCGUAAAGAGCACGCAGGCGGUUCGGCAAGUCGGUUGUGAAAUCCCAGGGCUCAACCCUGGGACUGCGUCCGAAACUGCCGGACUAGAGGUAGGUAGGGGAGAUCGGAAUUCCUGGUGUAGCGGUGAAAUGCGCAGAUAUCAGGAGGAACACCGGUGGCGAAGGCGGAUCUCUGGGCCUUACCUGACGCUCAGGUGCGAAAGCUAGGGGAGCGAACAGGAUUAGAUACCCUGGUAGUCCUAGCCGUAAACGUUGGGUGCUAGGUGUGGGCGGACAUCAACCCCGUCCGUGCCGAAGCUAACGCAUUAAGCACCCCGCCUGGGGAGUACGGCCGCAAGGCUAAAACUCAAAGGAAUUGACGGGGGCCCGCACA
rnacentral:rRNA from 1 species